AUUCCAUUGAGUGUUUAAUUUAAUUAAGCACAGUUAUUAUGAUUGCUCUCUAGUUAUGUACUGAAUAUUUUUCCCUUCUUUCAUUUUAAAAAUGACAACUUGUGCAAUUGCUACAGAUCUGAAUACCUGGUAGCCUUCAUCACCUGCUCUGAAUACAUUCUGGAAACUACUUCCUCUUUCCCUUCCACAAGAAUAGAUACAGAAAUAUUGUGGCUAAUUGUGACAAAAAAUAACAUUCGCAUAUCCUUCAUAUAUACAUAAAAGCAGAUUUUUCAGGCAGUUAACCUCUUUGUCAAACGAGAUCCACUGAAACUUCUUUCCUUGAAUACAUAUCAAAUGUUAAGAAAUUAUUUUAUACGCUGGUCAUCUUAUAGAGAAAAUACUAAGAAAAUACAGGUAUUUCUGCCUAAAAAUACAUGUUCCUUUGCAUGAAUGAUAAACUUGUCUGGGAUAAUGAAGAAGUAGGAAAUUCUGGUUAUUAGACAUCUCUUUGUGUGAUUAGAUUUCACUGUCUUCACACCUUUGAUGAUUAUGGCACUCCAUUUAAGUUGCUUUGUUCCUUUUAUUCAGAUUUGUUUUCAGAAUGGCAUGAAAGCAUUUGCUGAUAAACAGUCAAGAUUCCUUUCAAGAUUGCUUGCUGAAUAUUGUAAUAAGAAAAAGCUAAUCCAGGCAGAGUUUAAUCCAGGGCAAUUUUUCCUAUCACAUCCAGUCAGCAGUGCCACCAAUCUCCUUUUAUCUUUUUGUUUUCAGAUGCAGUCCUAUCAUCUUAAAGUUCUGCUUUCCAUUGCUCUGGCGAUGUUUCACAAAGCAUGUCAAAUACUGAAUUUUUGCUCAAUCGCAUUAAGGAUUUGAAAUGAAACAUAUCUAACAGAAACAGCUUUUUGCAAAAUAGAUGAAAGCAGUCCAUGCUGAAUGGGGAGCCUAGAAAUGACAGCGCCAGACUGAAAGGAAGUACCAGAUUGAGUAAGACUGGAAUAAAAAUAUUUUUUUAAAAAAGAGCAGAAGCUAAGUUAAGCAAUAUUUUUUUCAGUUUUGCCUUGUUAAAAUAAUUCCAGGUGGUUUCCUGGAGUAUUGUAGCUAAAUUUCUUCACGUUUUGUAAAUGUUUAAUAUUCAAUGACUACUUUGCUAUUUCAUUCUCCUUGAGGAAAAGUUAUAGUAUAAUGAAAACAUUUAAAACAAUUUAACUGGUAAAAAGAUGAAUUUUAUCAUUUAAAUAGUAAAUAUCAGUGGUUUCAGAGACAAAGAUAGUCCAGCCAUAUCCACCUGGACAGAAAAUGGUUCUGUUUCAUUGGCACUGAUUUCAUAAAGUUAUC